rnacentral:rRNA from 1 species
GACGAACGCUGGCGGCGUGCUUAACACAUGCAAGUCGAACGGAAAGGCCUGUCCUUCCUUGUGUUGGACGGGUACCCGAGUGGCGAACGGGUGAGUAACACGUGAGUGAUCUGCCCCCAACUUGGGUAUAAGCCUGGGAAACUGGGUCUAAUUCCCGAUAGGACUGCAGGGUGGUGCCUGUGGUGGAAAACGAUUUUCUAGUGGUUGGGGAUGAGCUCGCGGCCUAUCAGCUUGUUGGUGGGGUAAUGGCCUACCAAGGCGGCGACGGGUAGCCGGCCUGAGAGGGUGGACGGCCACAUUGGGACUGAGAUACGGCCCAGACUCCUACGGGAGGCAGCAGUGGGGAAUAUUGCACAAUGGGCGGAAGCCUGAUGCAGCGACGCCGCGUGGGGGAUGACGGCCUUCGGGUUGUAAACUCCUUUCGACCGCGAGGAAGCCGCCUGGUUGGAAGGGUGGUGACGGUAGUGGUAGAAGAAGCACCGGCUAACUACGUG